CUUAUAGAACCAUCCUUCCCCACUUCUAACUUGAGAGCAAGGACUGCAUUUUUCAUCAAGCUAGUGAACACAGCAGUGAGUACUUCUGGAAACAGUUGUUAAAAGGUUAUUAAAGCAUGGAUUAGCAGAAAAUCUAGUAUCAAGAGCAAUCAAUUUUGAACUGAAUGAUUUAGGAUGUGUAGACAAUACUGGUAUAACAUUAUGAAUGUUAUACUGCAUCUGAGAAGCAGGAGCAUCAGUUAUGAAGAUACAGAGAUUAAGAAAUGCGGAGUCACUGCUGUAACCAUACUAAUCCCAGCCUUGCAAAUGGGAUUCAUGUAGUGAACAGAGGUGGAAAGAGAAGUUGAAAUCCAAAAGUUGAUGCUGGUGGACACCCUAACUCUACAGGCAAGAGCAGAUGGUAAGACAGCAUAGUCUUCAUUAGAAGAGCCAUUACGCCUGUGUCUUGUCUGCAGCAGUUUCUCAGAAUUGUGAGAGAAUAAAAUCUUGAAGAGGGAAGGUGGCA
rnacentral:lncRNA from 1 species